rnacentral:rRNA from 1 species
CCUACGGGUGGCAGCAGUGAGGAAUAUUGGUCAAUGGGCUCGAGCCUGAACCAGCCAAGUCGCGUGAGGGAAGACGGCCCUACGGGUUGUAAACCUCUUUUGCCGGGUAGCAACGGGCGCCACGUGUGGCGCCACUGAGAGUACCCGCAGCACACGCAUCGGCUAACGCCGGGCCAGCAGCCGCGGUAAUACGGGGGAUGCGAGCGUUAAGCGGAUUUAUUGGGGUUAAAGGGUGCGUAGGCGGUGCGUUAAGUCAGUGGUCAAAUUGAGGGGCUCAACCCCUUCCCGCCAUUGAAACUGGCGCUCUUGAGUGGAAGAUAAGUAUGCGGAAGGCGUGGUGUAGCGGUGAAAUGCAUAGAUAUCACGCAGAACCCCGAUUGCGAAGGCAGCAUGCCGGCUUCCGACUGACGCUGAAGCACGAAAGCGUGGGGAUCGAACAGGAUUAGAUACCCGGGUAGUC